rnacentral:rRNA from 1 species
UUAAAUUGAAGAGUUUGAUCAUGGCUCAGAUUGAACGCUGGCGGCAGGCCUAACACAUGCAAGUCGAACGGUAACAGGAAUCAGCUUGCUGAUUCGCUGACGAGUGGCGGACGGGUGAGUAAUGUCUGGGAAACUGCCUGAUGGAGGGGGAUAACUACUGGAAACGGUAGCUAAUACCGCAUAACGUCGCAAGACCAAAGAGGGGGACCUUCGGGCCUCU